CGGCGGACGGGUGAGUAAUGCCUAGGAAUCUGCCUGGUAGUGGGGGACAACGUUUCGAAAGGAACGCUAAUACCGCAUACGUCCUACGGAGAAAGCAGGGGACCCUCGGGCCUUGCGCUAUCAGAUGAGCCUAGGUCGGAUUAGCUAGUUGGUGAGGUAAUGGCUCACCAAGGCGACGAUCCGUAACUGGUCUGAGAGGAUGAUCAGUCACACUGGAACUGAGACACGGUCCAGACUCCUACGGGAGGCAGCAGA
rnacentral:rRNA from 1 species